UACGGAGGGUGCGAGCGUUGUCCGGAAUCACUGGGCGUAAAGGGCGCGUAGGCGGCCUGAUAAGUAGGGGGUGAAAUCCUGCGGCUUAACUGCAGGGCUGCCUUCUAAACUGUCAGGCUUGAGCACAGUAGAGGCAGGUGGAAUUCCCGGUGUAGCGGUGGAAUGCGUAGAGAUCGGGAAGAACAUCAGUGGCGAAGGCGGCCUGCUGGGCUGUUGCUGACGCUGAGGCGCGACAGCGUGGGGAGCAAACAGG
rnacentral:rRNA from 1 species